rnacentral:rRNA from 1 species
GACGAACGCUGGCGGCGUGCCUAAUACAUGCAAGUCGAACGGAGCGGCGGACGGGUGAGUAAUGCUUAGGCAUCUGCCUGGUAGUGUGGGAUAACGUCCGGCAACGGGCGCUAAUACCGCAUACUAUCAGACGAGCCUAGGUCGGAUUAGCUAGUGGGUGGGGUAAAGGCCUACCAAGGUGACGAUCCGUAACUGGCCUGAGAGGAUGAUCAGUCACACUGGAACUGAGACACGGUCCAGACGCCUACGGGAGGCAGCGGUGGGGAAUAUUGGACAAUGGGCGAAAGCCUAAGCCAGCAAUGCCGGGUGGGUGAAGAAGGUCUUCGGAUUGUAAAGCACUUUAAGUUGGGAGACGUUACCAACAGAAUAAGCACCGGCUAACUCCGUGCCAGCAGCCGCGGUAAUUC